UACGUAGGGUGCGAGCGUUAAUCGGAAUUACUGGGCGUAAAGCGUGCGCAGGCGGUUCGUUGUGUCGGCGGUGAAAGCCCCGGGCUUAACCUGGGAAUGGCCGUUGAAACUGGCGAACUGGAGUGUGGCAGAGGGGGGUGGAAUUCCGCGUGUAGCAGUGAAAUGCGUAGAGAUGCGGAGGAACACCGAUGGCGAAGGCGGCCUGCUGGGCUAUGGCUGACACUGAGGCGCGACAGCGUGGGGAGCAAACAGG
rnacentral:rRNA from 1 species